rnacentral:piRNA from 1 species
UUUAGUAGACCUUAGACCUUC